rnacentral:rRNA from 1 species
GACGAAGGUGGCGACCGUUGUUCGGAAUUACUGGGCAUAAAGCGCACGUAGGCGGCAAUGUAAGUCAGGUGUGAAAUCCCCCGGCCCAACCGGGGAAUUGCGCUUGAUACUGUGUUGCUUGAGGACAGGAGGGGACCGUGGAAUUCCUGGUGGAGCGGUGGAAAUGACGGUUGAUAUCAGGAGGAACACCGGCGGCGAAGGCGACGGUCUGGCCUGCUUCUGACGCUGAGGUGCGAAAGCCAGGGGAGCAAAGCGGG